AUUGAACGCUGGCGGCAGGCUUAACACAUGCAAGUCGAGCGGGGUGAUGGUGCUUGCACUAUCACUUAGCGGCGGACGGGUGAGUAAUGCUUAGGAAUCUACCUAUUAGUGGGGGACAACAUCUCGAAAGGGAUGCUAAUACCGCAUACGUCCUACGGGAGAAAGCAGGGGAUCACUUGUGACCUUGCGCUAAUAGAUGAGCCUAAGUCGGAUUAGCUAGUUGGUGGGGUAAAGGCCUACCAAGGCGACGAUCUGUAGCGGGUCUGAGAGGAUGAUCCGCCACACUGGGACUGGGACACGGCCCAGACUCCUCCGGGAGGCAGCAGUGGGGAAUAUUGGACAAGGGGGGGAACCCUGAUCCAGCCAUGCCGCGUGUGUGAAGAAGGCCUUAUGGUUGUAAAGCACUUUAAGCGAGGAGGAGGCUCUUUUGGUUAAUACCCAAGAUGAGUGGACGUUACUCGCAGAAUAAGCACCGGCUAACUCUGUGCCAGCCGCCGCGGUAA
rnacentral:rRNA from 1 species